GACGAACGCUGGCGGCGUGCUUAACACAUGCAAGUCGAACGGACAGGCCCUGCUUUUGUGGGGUGCUCGAGUGGCGAACGGGUGAGUAACACGUGAGUAACCUGCCCUUGACUUUGGGAUAACUUCAGGAAACUGGGGCUAAUACCGGAUAGGAGCUCCUGCUGCAUGGUGGGGGUUGGAAAGUUUCGGCGGUUGGGGAUGGACUCGCGGCUUAUCAGCUUGUUGGUGGGGUAGUGGCUUACCAAGGCUUUGACGGGUAGCCGGCCUGAGAGGGUGACCGGCCACAUUGGGACUGAGAUACGGCCCAGACUCCUACGGGCGGCAGCAGUGGGGAAUAUUGCACAAUGGGCGGAAGCCUGAUGCAGCAACGCCGCGUGCGGGAUGACGGCCUUCGGGUUGUAAACCGCUGUCGCCUGUGACGAAGCGUGAGUGACGGUAAUGGGUAAAGAAGCACCGGCUAACUACGUG
rnacentral:rRNA from 1 species